CACAGUCAUGUUUCCGAUCAGGAGGAGGAGGAGGAUUUCUGUGUCUUCUGUUGUGAUGAAGGACAGCUGUCAGUCAUCCAGUCUUCAACUCUCAGGACUAUAAAGUCUCUCAGAGCACUGGAGCAUGCUGCUGCUCAUGCAAACUCACUCUCUAUGGAAAUGCUCAGAUUAACUCCAACACGGCCUUAGAUUAUACACUUGAUGAUGAUGAAGAUGUUCAAUAAUGGAUCAAUCAAUUCAUCUCCUGAUUGAUCAAACAGCUUUCCUGACUUGUAUCAUGAAGGUUUAGGUUUGUUCUUCUUCAUCCAUCUAUUUGGAGAGAUUUCUUCAGUCCUAGCCCGAUGCUGAGGACAAUGAAUGUCAACUAUUCAGUAAAUCAAUAAAGAUCUUUAAAAACUGGAUUCAUUCAAAUGGACUACAUUGAAUUCUCUGCUUUCAUUGGAGCUCAAAGCUCUUGCAGACAGAGACACAUUUAGGUGACUUUGUUUGUGUCAGAGUCAGAGAGCCGUGUCUCUCUACAGUCAGAGGUUUUUGUACGGCGCCUCAAUGACUUUGUAUCACUGUGGUACACGUUCGGUGGAGGAACCAGACUGGAUCUUGGAAGUAAGUCAAAUAUAAAGUCUUUUUCUUUUGAGUCAGUCAUUUUUGUUUCUGAUUUCUUCUUUUGAAAGACUGAAGGAAAAAUAUUCGCGUUUCUUUUUCUUUUUGCAUGUUUUAGAGCGAGUGAAACUUUAGGGAUCCAGGUGUCAGUUAGAAACUAAAACUGUAUAAAAACUCCAAUUAAAUCUGAGUCCAUGAAAUAAUGAAGUGUUUCUAAUGUUGGUAUUCAGUUGGAUCCUGAGGGCUGGUAGGUUUAGUUCAGUCAGAGUCAGAGAGCCGUGUCUCUCUACAGUCAGAGGUUUUUGUACGGCGCCUCAAUGACUUUGUAUCACUGUGGUGGACUUUUGGUGGAGGAACCAGACUGCAUGUUGGAAGUAAGUUUCUAUUUUAAUGUCAAAUCUUUCAGUUCAACAUAGUGUAUAAAUUCUUAUUUGAAACAGAACUUUUUCUGUUGAAUUUGGACAUUUUGAUUUGAUCUUUUUUUAUUGAUCACUGUUGUUUCUUCACACGGAGGUUCAUUCAGGACAGUUACACUGAACAGUUUUUCACACAGUCUGGUCAUAAAAUGUCAAAAUUCUGAUCGACUUGAAGGUUGAAUUUUAUUUUGAGAAAAAUUUUUCACUUUUUUGAAAUUCAUUUAAACUCAUUUUCUAAAACUGCAUUUUGAACUCUUGAUGAUAUUGAUCUGAUUUGGACGUUUGAAGAUUUCCAACCCAGUGUCGACAUAAAAACCAUGAAGGAAAAAGAAGAACAUCUCUGAUCUCUUGAUGUCUUUUUAAAUGAGACUCUUUUGAACUCGACUGGUGAGGAUUUCAACUCACAUGAAGAACAUUAGAUCGUCUGACUGAUCGAUUGACUGACUGAUGAGUAUUGAUAUGUAUUUCCUCAGAAUAGUCAAAAGUGUAAUGUUUGAAUGGUCUGAUAGUGUUUGUGUUAUUUCAGUGAUUUUCAGUGGGGUUAGUCAGUGUGUGAGUGUCUCUGUGCUGAUGUGCAUGAGAGGUUUCUUAAAGGGAAGUGAAAGUCCAUGAAGAAGAAAAUCAACGUUCAACUUGAAAGCUGUCCCAGUGUCUGCUGUUUGAUUGACAGCUGUGUGCUCCCUGUCCUCUAAGCUGAUUGGUGUCUCCUAGGUGAUUCCCCUCCCAAACUGACGGUGCUGCCCCCCUCCAAAGACGAGCUGGAGCACAGGCAGGGGAAGGCCACGCUCAUGUGCCUGGCCAACAAGGGCUUCCCCUCAGACUGGACUCUGGUCUGGAAGGUGGACGGCAGCAGCAGCAGCAGCUGGGAGGAGAGCAGGAGCCCUGCGGUGCUGGAGAAGGAUGGUAAAUACACCUGGAGCAGCACCCUGAGGCUCCCUGCAGACCAGUGGGACAAGCUGGUCUCUGUGACCUGUGUGGCCACCCGGGGCUCCCAGACUCCAGUCUUACAGACCCUGAGGAGAGACGAGUGUUCCCAUUAGUGAUCUGAUUCACUGGGACCCUGAUUCAGUUUUUCCUCUCUUCCUGCUCUCAGUCUAAACUCUCUCUCUCUCUCUCUCUCUCUCUCUCUCUCUCUCUCUCUCUGGUUCUGUCCUUCAUUCAUGGUGUUUCAUGUUUCAGUGUUUCUGCUUUAGCUGAUGGAUUCAUGAUUUUAAAACAAUAAAGAUUUUCUCGUGUUUAUCAUCAAA
rnacentral:lncRNA from 1 species